rnacentral:rRNA from 1 species
UCCAGACUCCUACGGGAGGCAGCAGUGGGGGAUAUUGCACAAUGGGGGGAACCCUGAUGCAGCGACGCUGCGUGGGUGAAGAAGCGCCUCGGCGCGUAAAGCCCUGUCAGCAGGGAAGAAAAUGACGGUACCUGAAGAAGAAGCCCCGGCUAACUACGUGCCAGCAGCCGCGGUAAUACGUAGGGGGCAAGCGUUAUCCGGAUUUACUGGGUGUAAAGGGAGCGUAGACGGCCAUGCAAGCCAGGGGUGAAAGCCCGGGGCCCAACCCCGGGACUGCCCUUGGAACUGCAUGGCUGGAGUGCGGGAGGGGCAGGCGGAAUUCCUGGUGUAGCGGUGAAAUGCGUAGAUAUCAGGAGGAACACCGGCGGCGAAGGCGGCCUGCUGGACCGCGACUGACGUUGAGGCUCGAAAGCGUGGGGAGCGAACGGGAUUAGAUACCCGGGUAAAU